rnacentral:rRNA from 2 species
AGAGUUUGAUCAUGGCUCAGAGCGAACGCUGGCGGCAGGCUUAACACAUGCAAGUCGAACGCACCUUUCGGGGUGAGUGGCAGACGGGUGAGUAACGCGUGGGAACGUGCCCUUCAGUUCGGAAUAACCCAGGGAAACUUGGGCUAAUACCGGAUACGCCCUUUUGGGGAAAGGUUUACUGCUGAAGGAUCGGCCCGCGUCUGAUUAGCUAGUUGGUGAGGUAAUGGCUCACCAAGGCGACGAUCAGUAGCUGGUCUGAGAGGAUGAUCAGCCACACUGGGACUGAGACACGGCCCAGACUCCUACGGGAGGCAGCAGUGGGGAAUAUUGGACAAUGGGCGCAAGCCUGAUCCAGCCAUGCCGCGUGAGUGAUGAAGGCCUUAGGGUUGUAAAGCUCUUUCACCCACGACGAUAAUGACGGUAGUGGGAGAAGAAGCCCCGGCUAACUUCGUGCCAGCAGCCGCGGUAAUACGAAGGGGGCUAGCGUUGCUCGGAAUCACUGGGCGUAAAGGGCGCGUAGGCGGCCGAUCAAGUCAGGGGUGAAAGCCUGUGGCUCAACCACAGAAUUGCCUUUGAUACUGUUCGGCUCGAGACCGGAAGAGGUUGGUGGAACUGCGAGUGUAGAGGUGAAAUUCGUAGAUAUUCGCAAGAACACCAGUGGCGAAGGCGGCCAACUGGUCCGGUUCUGACGCUGAGGCGCGAAAGCGUGGGGAGCAAACAGGAUUAGAUACCCUCGUAGUCC